GCUUUUUACAGGGGAUUCUUCUGACUGUGGGGUAAAACAACAGUGUUCACUUGAGAAGACCUGUAAAGAGAGAGGCGCUGUCUCUGUUCUUCUACCUGGGACAGCAGUUCCAACCUGGAGAGCUCUCUGAUAGUGUACUCCACACCGACACCUCAGGGCACUUGGACAGAUCAAAGAGACAGUGCGCUUGCCAUGAAUUCCAGCCUCCUCAGCAUGACUAUAGCUGCAGAGGUAUUGAUCCCUAGGCACUCCCUAACAAACGUCCAUCUCAGAGUCUGCUUAAUACAGAACCCAACCUGGGAAACUCCGAAUUGACUUGCAGCCUGCAGAGGAGAAGACAGAAGAGGUCACCCAUGGAAGAGAAAAGGAACAUGGAGAAGAGAGCGAAAAGAAGACUUAUUCAGGGGAGCCGUGGAAAAAGAAGUGAAUUACCAUUCCAGGAUUGGUGACAUGUUUAGCCCCCAGAGCAGUAUUGUCCAAUAGCAACAUACUGUGAGCCACAAAUACAAGCUCUCCAAGGGAUUUUAAAUUUUCUAGUAGGCACAUUAAAAAAGUAAGAAGAAACCCAUUAUAUUCAACGUGUUUUCAUUUUAAUAUGCAAUCAAUACAACCCUUUUUAAUGACAAAUUUUACAUCAUUUUUUUUUCUGUGCUAAAUACUUGGAAUUUGGUGUGCAUUUUAUAUUUGCAGCACAUCUCAGUUGGGUUUAGCCACAUUUCAAGUGCUCAAAGGCCACAAAUGACU
rnacentral:lncRNA from 1 species